UGGGGAAUUUUGGACAAUGGGCGAAAGCCUGAUCCAGCAAUGCCGCGUGUGUGAAGAAGGCCUUCGGGUUGUAAAGCACCUUUGUCCGGAAAGAAAUCCUUGGCUCUAAUACAGUCGGGGGAUGACGGUACCGGAAGAAUAAGCACCGGCUAACUACGUGCCAGCAGCCGCGGUAAUACGUAGGGUGCAAGCGUUAAUCGGAAUUACUGGGCGUAAAGCGUGCGCAGGCGGUUUGCUAAGACCGAUGUGAAAUCCCCGGGCUCAACCUGGGAACUGCAUUGGUGACUGGCAGGCUAGAGUAUGGCAGAGGGGGGUAGAAUUCCACGUGUAGCAGUGAAAUGCGUAGAGAUGUGGAGGAAUACCGAUGGCGAAGGCAGCCCCCUGGGCCAAUACUGACGCUCAUGCACGAAAGCGUGGGGAGCAAACAGGAUUAGAUACCCUGGUAGUCCACGCCCUAAACGAUGUCAACUAGUUGUUGGGGAUUCAUUUCCUAGUAACGUAGCUAACGCGUGAAGUUGACCGCCUGGGGAGUACGGUCGCAAGAUU
rnacentral:rRNA from 1 species